UUAUAGCAGUUUAAUCACCCUAAGAAGAUACAGAAACUACCUAAGCAGCAGGAUUAGUAUCUGCCGGGAGAUACAAAAAUACAGGCAAAGGUGUACAAGAUGGUGCAUCAGUGGCCAUGCUUUUCCCUGUGUAAAGAGCUGCCGGAGGAGCCUGGUGAAGCGAGCCAUGUGGCAGCAGUUUCCUGACGAACCAGAGUGCCGAUGAGAGCCACUAUUGAAGAUUUUUUUUUUCACGACCAAGC
rnacentral:lncRNA from 1 species